CAGACAACCCUGGAGACUGAAGAUCUGUGUUUAUCCAUAGAGCAGGUACAGCACAGGAAGGGGCAAUUCAAGCUCACCCCACCUGUAUAUUUCUACUCUGACCUGGUGGGACCACCCUGAGGAGUGAGAGGGGAAGUUCUGGCACACAGGUUUUGGCCUCUCUCCUGCGACCAU
rnacentral:sRNA from 1 species